rnacentral:misc_RNA from 1 species
CAACCCUCGAGCCUAAGUUUUUUAAACUGAAGGAUCGGUGUUGGGGCGCUACAGCGGUUCUUCGGAGCAGCUGUAGGCCCUGAAAUACAGUGGCGGUCCCGCCGCGGCGCCUUCUGCGUAGUAAACUUACAGAUCGCAUUAGGUCCCGGCGAAGGCUAGCCGUCAAACCCUCUAUUUUUUAUG